rnacentral:rRNA from 1 species
UACGAAGGGGACUAGCGUUGUUCGGAAUCACUGGGCGUAAAGCGCACGUAGGUGGAUUUGUAAGUCAGGGGUGAAAUCCCGGGGCUCAACCUCGGAACUGCCUUUGAUACUGCGAAUCUUGAGUCCGAUAGAGGUGGGUGGAAUUCCUAGUGUAGAGGUGAAAAUUCGUAGAUAUUAGGAAGAACACCAGUGGCGAAGGCGGCCCACUGGAUCGGUACUGACACUGAGGUGCGAAAAGCGUGGGGAGCAAACAGGG